rnacentral:rRNA from 1 species
AUUGGGCGUAAGCGAGCGCAGGCGGUCUUUUAAGUCUAAUGUGAAAGCCUUCGGCUCAACCGAAGAAGUGCAUUGGAAACUGGGAGACUUGAGUGCAGAAGAGGACAGUGGAACUCCAUGUGUAGCGGUGAAAUGCGUAGAUAUAUGGAAGAACACCAGUGGCGAAGGCGGCUGUCUGGUCUGCAACUGACGCUGAGGCUCGAAAGCAUGGGUAGCGAACAGGAUUAGAUACCCUGGUAGUCCAUGCCGUAAACGAUGAUUACUAAGUGUUGGAGGGUUUCCRCCCUUCAGUGCUGCAGCUAACGCAUUAAGUAAUCCGCCUGGGGAGUACGACCGCAAGGUUGAAACUCAAAAGAAUUGACGGGGGCCCGCACAAGCGGUGGAGCAUGUGGUUUAAUUCGAAGCUACGCGAAGAACCUUACCAGGUCUUGACAUCUUCUGACAGUCUAAGAGAUUAGAGGUUCCCUUCGGGGACAGAAUGACAGGUGGUGCAUGGUUGUCGUCAGCUCGUGUCGUGAGAUGUUGGGUUAAGUCCCGCAACGAGCGCAACCCUUAUUACUAGUUGCCAGCAUUAAGUUGGGCACUCUAGUGAGACUGCCGGUGACAAACCGGAGGAAGGUGGGGACGACGUCAAAUCAUCAUGCCCCUUAUGACCUGGGCUACACACGUGCUACAAUGGAUGGUACAACGAGUCGCGAGACCGCGAGGUUAAGCUAAUCUCUUAAAACCAUUCUCAGUUCGGACUGUAGGCUGCAACUCGCCUACACGAAGUCGGAAUCGCUAGUAAUCGCGGAUCAGCAUGCYGCGGUGAAUACGUUCCCGGGCCUUG